rnacentral:lncRNA from 1 species
UGUUCUAGAGUCUUCAUCUGGCAUUUUUCUGAGUGUCUCAUAUGCAAUUCCUUCACAAGUUGGGAGAGUGGCUGUGAAAACAAUUUGUGACUGAGCAGCAUAAAGCACCAGUGGCAGUACUAGUUACAGGAACAUUGGAGGAAGUAGUGAGAGUAGUUAAGUAUCUUGUGAUUCCAUGAGUUAUUCACAACUCCAAUUUGUACUUUAAAAGGCCCAGAAACAGAAGAUCUGGUCACUGCAUAGACUGUCUCAUCUCUCCUUUACCUCCAGAACAAAUCAUUUCCCUCAAAAUCUUACAUCUUAAUUCUAUGUGGAAAUGAGAUGAGCUAACAUUAACUCAUUUUCCAUUGUUUUGUAGCUUACUUACGGAGAGUGAAAAGAGUAAGAGUUGAAUUUGGUCAACAUAAAAGCUAUGGAAAAAAUUUAGAAAAUGAGCUAGGAUGUCAAUCAGUUCAGGUAUUGAGGCCUGACAAUGAGUUACAGCUUAUACUCAAAACCAAAACACACAGGGGCAUACAUCUCCAUGGCUCUAUGAUUUUCUUUAGCCAGACUUAGCAUUUUCUUCAGCCGGACUUCUGUUUCUACACUUAGCAGCUCCGGUAUAGAAAUAGAAAAUAUUUUUGUAGAAUUGGUACAUAGAUGGGAGUUUACAUGGAGAUAAAAACCAGGGGAGGGGCAAGUGAUAUGAAAAGUGAUCACUGUAAUGGAUCCAGGCUAGGGGUGGAAGGAAUUGAAAGUGGGAGAAAACUGAUAGAAGAAAAAUUGAAGUGUCAAAGGACUAGAAGUCUCAGUGAGAUCAAAUAGCAGAUCUAAUGAGCCUGAGGGGAAGCAGAUGGGAUAAGGAAAAAAUAGGAGCUUAUACCUGGAGGAAGACAGUGAAAUGUGUGACUUAAAGAAGAGUGGUGAGGUAGAGUGAAAGCAGGUAGAGAUGGGGAGACAGCCCAGGGUGAGGGGAUGGAAACAACUGGCUAAGGUUGAGAGGACUGGGAGGAAUUCAGUAUCUAGGAGGCUACAGUAUUUGACAGGUACAGGUGGAAAAUGGAGAGAUACCUGAACAGAGAAUGACACAGUACUAAAGAAGGUAGGGAAGUGCAAGGUUUUAGGGAUGGUAGGAGAACAGAAGAUACAUGUGUUAAUUUAGUGGGAGUAGAUAAUUUUUAGAAAUGAAGUUAGUAUAAUCCUCCCCCCUCCUCCUCUUCCUCCUCUUCUUCUGCAUCUUUGACAAUAAGUUGUAUGAGGAAAUAGUGAUUGGAAUUCCUGUUGUGGCUCAGCAGUAAUGAACCCAACUCGUAUCCAUGAGGACUUGGGUUCAAUCCCUGGCCUCACUCAGUGGGUUAAGGAUCCAGCGUUGCUGUGAGCUGUGAUCUUGCGAUGCAGUGGCUGUGGCAUAGGCUGGAAGCUGCAGCUCCAGUUUGACUCCUAGCCUGGGAACUUCCUUAUGCCGCAAAUCUCCCUAAACUAAAGAAAAAGCAGGUUAAAAUACAGAGCUGAGUACUGCUGUUAUUGUUCAAAAACUGGUGUGUGACUGGUUGGUCAGUUGUAUAACAUUCCUCAAAGUCACUUGUACAGAGAAUUCUUAGUGGAAAAAUUACCUCUACCCUCAAAGAAUAAGUUAUCUAUAAACUUUCUUCCCAUUAGGCUAUAUUCAUAAAUAUAGUUUAGUAUAUUACAGAGGAAAAAUUAUUAUAGUUUCUAAUAUACUGAUCUGGUGCCUCACGCCAUGAUGUUCCUAAACAAACAUAAAAUAUUUCAAGGACAGAGUUCCUGUCGUGGCUUAGUGGUUAAGGAACCUGACUAGCAUCCAUGAGGACGCGGGUUCGAUCCCUGGCCUCACUCAGUGGGUUAUGGAUCUGGCGUUGCCAUGAGCUGUGGUGUAGGUCGCAGAAGCAGCUCAGAUCGCGUGUUGCCAUGGUUCUGGCAUAGGCCGGAGGCUACAGCUCUGAUUCGAACCCCUAGCCUGGGAACCUCCAUAUGCCGCUGGUGUGGCCCUAAAAAGACAAAAAAAAAAAUAUUCCAAGGACAACUGAAGUUUAGUCUCUGUGGCCAAGAAAAGAGAAUUUAGAUAGUAUUAAAUCAGAUAGUACUUCCUAUUUUAUUCUCAUAUCAACACAUCUACAUAUCUAAAUAUAGCUAUCUAAAAUUUAUGAAAUAUAUUCAUAUUAAAUUGUAUAGAAAUAUAAAUAUUUUUAUGUAGGUGCACAUACAUUUACAUUGUAUAAUAAUACAUAAUAUACAAAUUUUUAUGUUAUAUAUUAUGUACUUAUAUUUUUAUACGCAUUAUAAAUAAAUAUGUAUACGCGCACACAAAUUGAUAGGAUUUUGACUGGAUUUAGCUUCUUAGCAUUAUCAUAUCCUUCCAGAAUCACAAAAUCAGUCAGAUGUAACAUGUUAGAUUUUAUUCUAGAUCUUAUUUUCUUAAAGUUUCAUAUUAUUAAUUUUGUUCUGUCUUUUAAGUUCCUUCAGGAACAGCAUAAUUCAUUUCUUCCCUUAGGAGCAGAGUAAGCUAUAGAAAUGUUGAAAUUUGCCCCCCUUCCAUCCACAAGGGUAAUACAUACAUUCAGACGGGUGAGCUCUGGGCCUCUACUCUACCACUGGAGGCCCAUAACAAUAAUGGCUCUCUGAAAAUGAGUUGACAUUUCAAUUUGGCCCAAUUUCACCCUAAAGUUAACAAUUCUGUGUUCACAUUUCAAAAAGCUUUGAGGUACUGCCGAAGAUGGAGUCUGAUAAGCAAAUUUUUGUAUAGUUCUGCUCGGUCUCUCAUUUUUCUUUUUCUCUUUUCAUUUUAAAUAAUGAAAGCAGUAAGACUCGAAAGGUCAGAUGCUUUAAGUUUUGUCAGGCAGUUUGGGAUUUCUCCAGUGAACAAUACAUCCCAAUUCUCAGGAUUGUCAAAUCUGCAGCUUAGUCGGUCACUAGAACCAGGACAGAUGGGAUCCCCCAGGAGGGUUGGCCCACUUCCCUUCUUAGUGCACACAAUUAAAACUUGAAACUGUAGAUUUUCCCAACCUC